rnacentral:rRNA from 1 species
UGGAGAGUUUGAUCCUGGCUCAGGACGAACGCUGGCGGCGUGCCUAAUACAUGCAAGUCGAACGAGACUUUUUAUUUGAUGCUUGCAUCUUUUAAAAAGUUGAGUGGCGAACGGGUGAGUAACACGUGGGUAACCURCCUUAAAGUGGGGGAUAACACUUGGAAACAGGUGCUAAUACCGCAUAACCAUCAAAACCGCCUGGUUUUGAUGUUAAAGAUGGUUCUGCUAUCGCUUUAAGAUGGACCCGCGGCGUAUUAGCUAGUUGGUGAGGUAAYGGCUUACCAAGGCAAUGAUACGUAGCCGMACUGAGAGGUUGAUCGGCCACAUUGGGACUGAGACACGGCCCAAACUCCUACGGGAGGCAGCAGUAGGGAAUCUUYCACAAUGGACGAAAGUCUGAUGGAGCAACGCCGCGUGAGUGAAGAAGGUUUUCGGAUCGUAAAACUCUGUUGUCAGAGAAGAACGUGUGUGAGAGUAACUGUUCACGCAGUGACGGUAUCUGACCAGAAAGUCACGGCUAACUACGUGCCAGCAGCCGCGGUA